rnacentral:rRNA from 1 species
AUACGUAGGGUGCGAGCGUUGUCCGGAAUUACUGGGCGUAAAGAGCUCGUAGGUGGUUUGUCGCGUCGUCUGUGAAAUUCCGGGGCUUAACUCCGGGCGUGCAGGCGAUACGGGUAUAACUUGAGUACUGUAGGGGAGACUGGAAUUCCUGGUGUAGCGGUGAAAUGCGCAGAUAUCAGGAGGAACACCGGUGGCGAAGGCGGGUCUCUGGGCAGUAACUGACGCUGAGGAGCGAAAGCAUGGGUAGCGAACAGGAUUAGAUACCCUGGUAGUCCAUGCCGUAAACGGUGGGCGCUAGGUGUAGGGGUCUUCCACGACUUCUGUGCCGUAGCUAACGCAUUAAGCGCCCCGCCUGGGGAGUACGGCCGCAAGGCUAAAACUCAAAGGAAUUGACGGGG